CAGUGCCGCGAAGAUCUGCGGGUAAAAGAGAAUCAGGUGAAAGUCCUGAGCGAUCCGGUCACUGUGAACAGCAAGUGUUUUGCAUGAUGUCAUUGCAUCCGGCCAAGCGGGUGUGAGAAGGCGCAAAUUACGUCCGAGCUGUAAGUCAGGAAACCUGCUGACGCAUC
rnacentral:ncRNA from 1 species